rnacentral:rRNA from 1 species
AUUGAACGCUGGCGGCAGGCCUAACACAUGCAAGUCGAACGGUAGCACAGAGAGCUUGCUCUCGGGUGACGAGUGGCGGACGGGUGAGUAAUGUCUGGGAAACUGCCUGAUGGAGGGGGAUAACUACUGGAAACGGUAGCUAAUACCGCAUAAUGUCGCAAGACCAAAGAGGGGGACCUUCGGGCCUCUUGCCAUCGGAUGUGCCCAGAUGGGAUUAGCUUGUUGGUGAGGUAAAAGCUCACCAAGGCGACGAUCCCUAGCUGGUCUGAGAGGAUGACCAGCCACACCGGAACUGAGACACGGUCCAGACUCCUACGGGAGGCAGCAGUGGGGAAUAUUGCACAAUGGGCGCAAGCCUGAUGCAGCCAUGCCGCGUGUGUGAAGAAGGCCUUCGGGUUGUAAAGCACUUUCAGCGGGGAGGAAGGCGGUGAGUUUAAUAAGCUCACCGAUUGACGUUACCCGCAGAAGAAGCACCGGCUAACUCCGUGCCAGCCGCCGCGGUAA